GGAUUCCCUUAGUAGCGGCGAGCGAAGAGGGAAAAGCCCAGCACUAAGGGUCAAUUGUAUCCUUCGGGAGGCAAUUUCGACCGAUGCAGUGUUUGGGAGCCUCGUAAGACCGUCGCUUGUCCAGUCUAAAGUCCUCAUGAAUGUGGCCCGAUUGCCCAGAGAGGGUGUCAGGCCCGUAGGACGGAUGAGCGCUCGGCAUUCCGAGGUCUCUCUAGAGUCGUGUUGCUUGAGAAUGCAGCGCUAAUCAGGUGGUAAACUCCAUCUAAGGCUAAAUAUGAAUGUGA
rnacentral:rRNA from 1 species